GAUUAUGAGUAGUUCUGGGUGUCACCUGGAGAUAGUGGGAAGUCAGAGUGCCUGAUGGAAGGACAGGCUGAUACAGCAGGAGAAGGAGUGGCCAUUGCUGGUUCCUAAGUCUUGCUACAUUGCUCUCUCCUGCACAGAAUAUUGGAUGACGCUGGACAUCAGAGAUGGAACAUGGAUGUAGAAAUAUUUGGGCACAGAGUGACCUGUGUCAUUCAUUAUUGUGAGAUGUUGUUCCCUCUACUCAAAGUAUCACCCUCUCUUGUGGGUAAAAGGAGAAAUUCUGGCCAAACCUGAUUCAAAUGUUGGAAUGUGAACUUCAAGGGAAGCUGUACCCAAAGUGGAAAAAGACAUCAUCAUCUUCUUGCUGUAGGAGUAAGCUGAUCAAAACUUGAAAGAUAAAAAUAGGAAGACUGCUCUCCACCAUGCUGUACUUAAUGAUGUUCCUGAGAUAGCAGCUGCCCUCCUGGACACUGGGGCAACAUUGAGGAGAUCUCAAAGAUGCUGUGAGAGGAGCAGAGACUCAUGGGACAAAGUGUUUCCCAUGAGUUCUGAAGAGGACUUAGGUCUCAUGACAACUGUAGGCAGGAUCGAAGCAUUGCACUGUCAACGUGAGACUAAGAAGAACAUUUCUUCUGCUCUCUAGUCUAUGGAUGGAAUCUCCUCCCUCAUGUUCACCCUCCAAAAAGAGAAGCUUUUGAACAGCAGCAUUAUUGAUAAACCGGGCGGGGGGGCGCAAACGUAAAUGCUACUUAUAAUCAUGGAAGGUAUGUACUUGUUUUUUAAACAUUAGUUGCACUCAAAAAUAGUAACAGUUUCUCUAAUCAGGAAUUUUUGUUAUAUAAUCAAAAGUAUGAA